CUUUUGCUCAAAAACUUUUUAUUUUAAGACACACUCAUACCAUUUGCUACAUACUUAAACUUUCUGGCGUUUGUCUUCUUCCCUUUU